rnacentral:rRNA from 1 species
UACGUAGGCAGCGAGCGUUGUUCGGAGUUACUGGGCGUAAAGGGUGUGUAGGCGGUUGUUUAAGUUUGGUGUGAAAUCUCCCGGCUCAACUGGGAGGGUGCGCCGAAUACUGAAUGACUUGGAGUGCGGGAGAGGUGAGUGGAAUUCCUGGUGUAGCGGUGAAAUGCGUAGAUAUCAGGAGGAACACCGGUGGUGUAGACGGCUCACUGGACCGUAACUGACGCUGAGACACGGAAGCGUGGGUAGCAAACAGG